ensembl:lncRNA
AAGGAGUCUCUCUUCAAGAAGGCCAUGAUGGUGCUCAAUGGGGCCAGCCACCUGGGGGCCGUAAGCCAGAUGGAAGUUCCAGAGAAUAUUCUGUUGGGGAGCCCACUGAAUUACUAACAGCAAAGACUGCCCUUGAAUCUCCUUGGAAGAGACUAUACCAGUUCCUCCUCACUACUCAAACGGCAGUCAGACUCCAGGCACUUGAGCCUUGAGCCUACAUUUUGCAGCUGAGAAAGACUCCACCUGUACAAAUGCUGAAGACCUCUUAUCAAACGACUAGGAUGAGAUGCAGCUGACAUCGAGGUUGACCGCUUCCUCCCAAGACACUGGAUCAAGACUUCAUGCUUUAAACCUGAAAACCUUACCUCUUCCUUUCUUUCCUUUACUCUGACAUUGGCCUGGAAAGAACACCAUCAUCUAUAUCUCCCAGGCCAUUGCUAAGGGAGGGUAACACUUCAGACUGCUAGACCCGUAAUCAAAAACUCUAAUAUAUAUGCUAGAGACCCCCUGGUCUGUUUCCCUGUCUCUGGUUAAGAGCUUCAAACUUGGGGAACUUUGUAUCCAGGUUCUAUGCAAAGAAAGGGACACAAGGCAAGGGUAACCAGAAUAAAACUGCCUGUGUGGUCUACAGACCCUUACAUUACUGCCUCCAAGGCCUGAGCCACAGAGUCAAACAGGAGUUACCAGGAGGCAUUCAGGAUUCAGGAUUCGCUUCCACUAGCAGAACCCUACUGCCCUGGUUAGAAGUAAAUGUAAGUGAGGCUAUGACGAGAAACCUCUCCUUAACUCUUGAAAGUAUUGCAGAAUCUGCUGCUAAAGCAAUAAGCUGCCUAACAAAAAUUCUUAGACUCUCUGGCCAAAGUUGUUCUUGAUAACAGGAUAGCCCUUGAUUAUCUUUUAGCUGAGCAAGGAGGUGUCUGUGCUAUGGCCCGCACCACCGGCGGCACCUGGAUUAACACUCUGGGGAAGUCGAAAGUCAGUUACAUAAAAUCAUUUAAGCCACUCUGCUUAAAAAGGUGACUCCUUCAAAAGGGUGUUUCUGUGAUUUGUUUGAUUUUGAGUGGCUUGGGUCUUGGGGACCAUGACUCCAAAAUGCACUCCAAAUAUUGGGAAUUAUCCUACUUAUAAUAAUCAUAAUAACCUCCCUGGUGCAUUGUAUUCUCUCAAAAACUUUAAACACACGUUUUUAGACAUUAACCACCAAGCAAAUGAUCUCCCUAAGACUGGAACGUCAGAAAGGAACACAGAGAAUGACCAACUUGAAGAAUGUGAGCCUGAGGCCGUGACCUGUGAAUGCCACACAGAGGAUCGGCAAAAACUGUGAGAACUUGAGAGCAGUAGCCGACACUGGUGUUAAUGCCGUAUAUUUUUAUCACAUCUCUCAAUUAAGCCGAGAGUCUGAUCAAAAGGGAGGAAAUGGUUAAAAAGUAACAUCAGGCACCAAAUGGAGUCACUCGUGCCAAGCUCACGUAACCAAACUUAGACUUAAUACCUAGUCUAAUUGUAGUUUCAACCUUCCCCAGGAGUGUAACCUUAACUGGUCAGUCUGGGAUUUCCUGGUCAGCACUAGUGUGAUAAUCUGCCUAAUAGAUGUCUUUUGUCCCCCACAGGAAGAUGACCUUGCUGGAAAUAAUCCUUUUUUUUGUUUAUGACUUCCUUGUCCCACCCCUUCCCUGCCUUUAAAAAUCUUUCCUUUUCUGUAGCUCUGUGGACCCCCUUUCUCCUUGCCAGGGGAGUUGCUGCUCGACUCAUGGAUCAUUGAAUAAAACCAAUUUCAUCUUCAAAUUUACUCAGUUGAAUUUUGUUUUUUUAACAGUU